UACGUAGGGUGCAAGCGUUGUCCGGAAUUAUUGGGCGUAAAGAGCUUGUAGGCGGUUUGUCGCGUCGGCUGUGAAAUUUCGGGGCUCAACCCCGAACUUGCAGUGGGUACGGGCAGACUAGAGUGCGGUAGGGGAGACUGGAAUUCCUGGUGUAGCGGUGAAAUGCGCAGAUAUCAGGAGGAACACCGAUGGCGAAGGCAGGUCUCUGGGCCAUAACUGACGCUGAGAAGCGAAAGCAUGGGGAGCGAACAGG
rnacentral:rRNA from 1 species